GAUGAACGCUGGCGGCGUGCUUAAUACAUGCAAGUCGAGCGAAGCGCUUUAACGGAAUUCUUCGGAAGGAAGAUGAAGUGACUGAGCGGCGGACGGGUGAGUAACGCGUGGGUAACCUGCCUCAUACAGGGGGAUAACAGUUAGAAAUGGCUGCUAAUACCGCAUAAGCGCACAGGACCGCAUGGUCUGGUGUGAAAAACUCCGGUGGUAUGGGAUGGACCCGCGUUGGAUUAGGUAGUUGGUGGGGUAACGGCCUACCAAGCCGACGAUCCAUAGCCGGCCUGAGAGGGUGGACGGCCACAUUGGGACUGAGACACGGCCCAGACUCCUACGGGAGGCAGCAGUAGGGAAUAUUGCACAAUGGGGGAAACCCUGAUGCAGCGACGCCGCGUGAAGGAAGAAGUAUCUCGGUAUGUAAACUUCUAUCAGCAGGGAAGACAAUGACGGUAC
rnacentral:rRNA from 1 species